CAAAAGAUAUUUUUAUUGUACAAACCUUCAAUAAUAUGUGAUAGGAAGUCGUAACAGGUCAGCAAA
rnacentral:rRNA from 1 species